CAAAUGACUCUCGGCAACGGAUAUCUCGGCUCACGUUACGAUGAAGAACGUAGCGAAAUGCGAUACUUAGUGUGAAUUGCAGAAUCCCGUGAAUCAUCGAGUCUUUGAACGCAAUUUGCGCCCGAGACCCCAGUCGAGGGCACGUUUGUCUGGGCGUCGCAU
rnacentral:rRNA from 1 species